UUCUCUGCCUUGUGAAAUGCUUAAUUCUCGACUAAGACUUUGGCUAAAUCUUCUAAAUUCGUGGUGGUGGAUUAAAUGCUAGUUUAUAAUAGACCAGUGUCACAGCUUGACAAAAAGGCUAGUUAGCUAACAGCAAUGUUGGUUACAACACACAGGACCUGUACAUUAAGUUAUAGCAUAACAAUAGUUACAUGACAUUAGCGAACUGUUCGUUAAAAUAGAGGAUUUAGCUAGGUAAUACUAACGGGCAACAAACACCAUGACCAUGCGACCACCACCACGGAUGGGCCUACAAGGAAAACAUAACGGAAGGCUAGCUAAAGGAGUUAACUAGCUAGCUAAAUUUCACAAAACAUCGACAGUUAACAUGUUUUGGAAAAUGGAACAGCAAUAUUAAAUUAUAUAACUCCACAAAGCAAUGUAACAAGGAGUCGGAUUCCAUUCACAUGGCACAAUGGAUUGAUGCGUCAGAGACGCAACUAGUUAGGAAAACUAGCAUGGCUAGUUAAGUGAAUGGGAUUUUAGAAAGGAAUCCGUUCAAAACGCAAGACUCAGCGUUCAAGUGCGUGGCUGUGAAAUCCAUGUAAUAACUGACUGUGGGUGUUCGAAAGUAGUACCUGGCAUCUCGUGCUUUCGCGUUACUUCAAGCAGACAAAUUAACGUAUUUCCAACAACACACUUUCCUUGCGAGGCUAGCUAAACGACAUUAGAAACACCUUGGUCUGUAUGCUUGAACAAACAUCAAACACGCGCCCCCUCCAGUCUCUUUCAACAAAAACACACGCGCGUGUAGCGGAGUGGUACGAAAAGCGAAUGACGGGGAUGGGGGCCUGUUCGGGUGUUUGGAGUAUAUCCUACCUGUCCAACUCAUUAAAGAAAAAUUAUUCAUCCAAUUCGAGGACAAUGACCCAACACACCUCCAGGCUGUGUAAGAGAUAUUUUACCAAGAAGGAGAGUGAU